UGAAUAGUAGUGAUCUUACAACAUUAUAUGAUAUAUGGCACAAUUACAAAAAGAGAUUCAAAUUCAAUUGAGAAAAUGUACUUUUAAAUAAAAACACUACUAAUUAAGCUUUAACUUUUCUAUAACUUCCAAUUCAAAAGAAUAAACAUAUAAAAACAACAAACUGAAAUCAAAGAAUAAAAGAAAACAUAGGUAUAUAUGGUGAAAUGAAUAACACAUAUUUAUAGUAACCCAUUGGUGAAAACAUUGUCUACUUUCUCCUUCCAAAGAUCUGCCCCAUAGUUG
rnacentral:lncRNA from 1 species